rnacentral:sRNA from 1 species
AUUCUCCCUGCUCUGUGCUAUCGGCAUGUGUUAGAUUCAUUGACUUGAGCCAAUCUUCUGCAUGAGAAUGGUGUUGAACGCGUGUGUUCUGAGAGCCUGCUGCAGUCCAGGGAAUAUUCCUCACUACCAUUACCCAGACGCACUUCAUCGACAGACAGUACUAUAACUUCAAGUGUAACUCGCUCUGUAAGAAAGAGGAGGAUACAAGAUCAGCUUCUCCCAUGAUAGAGGCCCAAGGCACAAGUCCAGCUCAUGAUAAUAUUGCAUUCCAAGACUCUACGAGGAAGGAUAAAACCAUAUUAAAUCUGGAAGCCAAAGAGGAACCACAAACAAUAGAAGAACAUAAAAAAGAACAUGCUUCAGGAGACUCUGUGGUUUCCCCUCUUCCUGUAACCACUGUGAAAUCGGUUAACUUUAGACAAAGUGAGAACACUUCUGCUAAUGAGAAGGAGGUGGAGGCAGAAUUUCUCAGAUUAUCUUUGGGAUUUAAGUGUGACUGGUUUACCUUGGAGAAGAGAGUGAAGCUUGAAGAGAGGUCCCGUGACUUGG